rnacentral:rRNA from 1 species
CUACGGGAGGCAGCGGUGGGGAAUAUUGGACAAUGGGGGAAAUCCUGAUCCAGCAAUGCCGCGUGUGUGAAGAAGGCCUGCGGGUUGUAAAGCACUUUCGGUUGGGAGGACUGCUUCUAGCACUAAUAUUGUUGGAAGUUGACGUUACCUUCAGAAGAAGCACCGGCUAACUCCGUGCCAGCAGCCGCGGUAAUACGGAGGGCGCAAGCGUUAAUCGGAAUUACUGGGCGUAAAGCGCGCGUAGGCGGCUAGAUCAGUCGGGUGUGAAAGCCCCGGGCUUAACCUGGGAACUGCAUCCGAUACUGUCUAGCUUGAGUACAGGAGAGGAGAGUGGAAUUCCACAUGUAGCGGUGAAAUGCGUAGAUAUGUGGAGGAACACCAAUGGCGAAGGCAGCUCUCUGGCCUGAUACUGACGCUGAGGUGCGAAAGCGUGGGGAGCAAACAGGAUUAGAUACCCUCGUAGUC